CUCCUGGAAACGGGUGGUAAUGCCGGAUGCUCCGACUCCUCGCAUGGGGUGUCGGGAAAGAUUUCAUCGGUAUGGGAUGGGGUCGCGUCCUAUCAGGUAGUCGGCGGGGUAACGGCCCACCGAGCCUACGACGGGUAGCCGGCCUGAGAGGGCGACCGGCCACAUUGGGACUGAGAUACGGCCCAGACUCCUACGGGAGGCAGCAGUGGGGAAUAUUGCACAAUGGGCGCAAGCCUGAUGCAGCGACGCCGCGUGCGGGAUGACGGCCUUCGGGUUGUAAACCGCUUUUGAUCGGGAGCAAGCCUUCGGGUGAGUGUACCUUUCGAAUAAGCACCGGCUAACUACGUGCCAGCAGCCGCGGUAAUACGUAGGGUGCAAGCGUUAUCCGGAAUUAUUGGGCGUAAAGGGCUCGUAGGCGGUUCGUCGCGUCCGGUGUGAAAGUCCAUCGCUUAACGGUGGAUCUGCGCCGGGUACGGGCGGGCUGGAGUGCGGUAGGGGAGACUGGAAUUCCCGGUGUAACGGUGGAGUGUGUAGAUAUCGGGAA
rnacentral:rRNA from 1 species